rnacentral:tRNA from 2 species
GGGUGAUUAGCUCAGCUGGGAGAGCACCUCCCUUACAAGGAGGGGGUCGGCGGUUCGAUCCCGGCAUCACCCACCA